rnacentral:lncRNA from 1 species
UACAAGCUGUACAUACAUAGAAGAAAUUGAACCAAAUAUUUCGGCCCCCUUCCUGUAUUAGUAGAACCCUGGAGAAGGAUGAAUAUACAGAAACCUGAUUACGAAAAUAAACAUGUACUGUAUGCACUGUACACUGUACUGCAGUAUGCUCUGAGCCAGAUUUAGGUCUCAGUUGACGAAAGUCUGCUGCUUGGUAAAUCAGAAUUAAUAUUCAGAAUCUCCGGUAGAGGCUGAGUGGGCGUUUCCUCUCUCCCCCUCCCCCCCCCUUCAUACUUCAUCUCUCUGCGUCCUGAGAGGUUGAUGUAUAGGAGCAAUGACGACCUCGCCAACCCUCUUGGAAAGGUCAAAGUUGUUUUUAUGUUAUUUUACACUGAAAUAAAUUAUUGUACAAAUUUA